rnacentral:lncRNA from 1 species
UCAGUGCGUGGUGUUCCUGAUGCUAGGUCCAGCGCUGCCACAGAUCCCAGGCCAACAUGGGCACGAAGGGGGCAGCUCAGCCCAUUCCUUAGUUUCACGACUCUGGGAGAAUCAGGACAAAAGGCCCCUAGGAUAACCAUGGGGUUCCCCAGUCGGGUCUCCGCCUUUCUGCAAAAACUGUGAACAUGAAGGUGCUGCGGAAGAAUAGUCUGCUGCUCAUUCAGAACUGAGAGGCAAGGCACAGGGACACAUGUGGCUGACGAGACAUUCUGGAAGCCGUCACCAUAGUUAUCACAACUGAGGCAAAGAGAAGAGCCACAGACAGAUACAUAGGUGGCUGCAAGAGUUGGGCCUAGGGCCUUUAACUCUCAGAACUUUCUUGAAUGCGUAUCCAGCACUCUCAGUCAUGCUGGGCAUUGCAACCACUCUGCUGCAGGCAGAACCAGCUCCCCACUCGCUGAGGUCAGGUGUGUUGGGACAGAGAAUGUCUGGGGACUAGUGCCUAUGCCUUUCAGAUGUGGCUUCUGAGCAGAGAUAAGGCCUUUUCCUGCUUCCCCUCUGCUCUCUGAAGUUCUUGGCAGAAAGACCCUGAAGAACAUAGAGAAUAUUAUUAGUGUCAGAAUAAUGCCAGUUUCAGCUAAGCUCUGUGGAGUCAGGAAUUCAACACAGAGGAUUGGCAAAGAGGGCAAGAAUAAAUAACUUCUGAGGUUCUCUGGGCCUUUUAAUUUAUGGCCUAUAAAGUUGCAUCCAUUAAAGGGCAAAAAUGCGGACAUGUAAACAUUGUGGACAAGCUCCACCAGGGCUUGGCCACCAACCAGGCGUGCUCCAUGGAGCAAGGGUCAGGUGUCUGGGCUCUCAGCUAACCUAUGUUUCAC